GAUGAAGAACGUAGCGAAAUGCGAUAAGUAAUGUGAAUUGCAGAAUUCAGUGAAUCAUCGAAUCUUUGAACGCACAUUGCGCCCCUUGGUAUUCCGAGGGGCAUGCCUGUUCGAGCGUCAUUAUAACCCCUCAAGCUUAGCUUGGUGUUGAGGCCUGCUGUAAUAGAGCAGCCCUUAAAAUCAGUGGCGGUGCCAUUAGGCUCUAAGCGUAGUAAUUCUUCUCGCUAUAGGGUUCUGGUGGAUGCUUGCCAUUAACCUCUAAUUUUCUAUGGUUGACCUCGGAUCAGGUAGGGAUACCCGCUGAACUUAAGCAUAUCAAUAAGCGGAGGA
rnacentral:misc_RNA from 1 species